UGGGGAAUUUUGGACAAUGGGGCGAAAGCCUGAUCCAGCAAUGCCGCGUGUGUGAAGAAGGCCUUCGGGUUGUAAAGCACUUUUGUCCGGAAAGAAAUCCUUGGCUCUAAUACAGUCGGGGGAUGACGGUACCCGGAAGAAUAAGCACCGGCUAACUACGUGCCAGCAGCCGCGGUAAUACGUAGGGUGCAAGCGUUAAUCGGAAUUACUGGGCGUAAAGCGUGCGCAGGCGGUUUGCUAAGACCGAUGUGAAAUCCCCGGGCUCAACCUGGGAACUGCAUUGGUGACUGGCAGGCUAGAGUAUGGCAGAGGGGGGUAGAAUUCCACGUGUAGCAGUGAAAUGCGUAGAGAUGUGGAGGAAUACCGAUGGCGAAGGCAGCCCCCUGGGCCAAUACUGACGCUCAUGCACGAAAGCGUGGGGAGCAAACAGGAUUAGAUACCCUGGUAGUCCACGCCCUAAACGAUGUC
rnacentral:rRNA from 1 species